rnacentral:rRNA from 1 species
AUUGAACGCUGGCGGAAUGCUUUACACAUGCAAGUCGAACGGCAGCACGGGGGCAGCCCUGGUGGCGAGUGGCGAACGGGUGAGUAAUACAUCGGAACGUGCCCGGUCGUGGGGGAUAACGUAGCGAAAGUUACGCUAAUACCGCAUACGAUCUGAGGAUGAAAGCGGGGGACCUUCGGGCCUCGCGCGAUCGGAGCGGCCGAUGUCAGAUUAGGUAGUUGGUGGGGUAAAGGCCUACCAAGCCGACGAUCUGUAGCUGGUCUGAGAGGACGACUAGCCACACUGGGACUGAGACACGGCCCAGACUCCUACGGGAGGCAGCAGUGGGGAAUUUUGGACAAUGGGCGCAAGCCUGAUCCAGCCAUUCCGCGUGCAGGACGAAGGCCUUCGGGUUGUAAACUGCUUUUGUACGGAACGAAAAGGCUCUGGCUAAUACCUGGGGCUCAUGACGGUACCGUAAGAAUAAGCACCGGCUAACUACGUG